CGGUUCUUAGUCUAAUGUUUUAAUGUGAGCCCACAGACUUGUUUAUCCACCCUUGGGUGCGGAUGAGCAGGUAUAUGUGUCACCUGAGGGCGGAUCUAAAGUAUAAAUACAAGCAAGAAAACAGCAUUUCCACACAGGAGAGCAAGACGAGACAAGAGUGUUACGGACGUGUUGAAUAUCUGAAAAUCUCGACAUGAGUGAUCCACCACAAAAACAGGAGUGCGGAGAUUCUGGUUCUGGCUCCGAGAGCUCAGGAGAUGAAGGUGGAAAGAAGCAUGGAAAGGGCCAAGGCAAAGGGAAAGGGAAAGGACAAGGUCAGGGACAUGGACAUGGACACGGACACGGUCAAGGAGGUGAACAUGGGAAAAAAGGAUGUGAAAAAGGAAAAAAAUGAGCUCAAAGCCUGAGGCCUGGGCAUUCCAUUCCAUUUAUGUCCUCAUGACUUACACAACAAAACUUGUUUCAACUCAAUUUUGCAUACAAAAAAUGAAAUUAAAACACCCUUAAAAGA